GUAAACGUGACUCUUCCCACCAAGGAAGAAUUGAACUUUCUCAGCACCAGUCCUGGUUGGCUUUGGUGCAUUAGCUAUGUUUCAUACCCUUAAACAUCAACACAGAAUCACCUAAGAAUAUUGGACUUAAAGAGGACAAGAUAACUGGAGGCUUGCUUUCUCCCCUGAUGCAAUUCUCAAGAUUCUACAUGUUUGUUAGAGGUGCUGAUGUUUUUGCUCUUCAGAUGCUCAACAAUAUGGAUUCAAACUAGAAGGGUGUUAGUGCUAUGAAACUUACAACAGAUUUAAAUUCCAACCAAGACACUACAGAAAAAACUUCCAAGCAUGACCUUGUCUUCUCAGUGUCUGAGUAAGAACACAUGUACCUCUGGGACAUCACUGACCACUGCAUCUGAAAUAAGGUUGUCGUCUACAAGACUCACUUCUAAGCCUCCAAGUAAAAUGUCAACAAGAUCCUGCAUGUCUCAGCAAAGAUCCCAGAAGACAAGCCAUGCAUCUCUGCUGCACGCAGACCCACAGGGAGUGGGGCUCUGGGCCUGGGUCUCACGGGGAAGGUCUAGUCCACACAGUGAUGCUUCUGCCUGUCUGCCUGCUUGGAGGAGGUACUGGGGGGAACUACCUCACUUCUAAAUGUCUAGGUGUUGGGCUCUCUAAAUAAGGAGUUUGAGACUAAACCAGGCUUGAUAGAAGGGGACACUGUUUCUCUUACCUUUGAACCUUAUCUCCUUCCCUUUUCUCUCUCUUUUCUGCUUUUUGCUACUUUUCCUGCCUCCAAACCCCAAGUGCCCUACAGAC